UUGUGGAACAUGGGAUGAGCGUGCAGAGGUUGGGUUGCUUGUUGCAUGAAAGUUAUGCUGAAAUAGUAUGGCAGGGAAGUAGUUUAAAAUGGCUUCUUGGUGAUCUGCUGCAAAGUGCACCAAAGCCAGGAGCAGAAUGAAAUUGUGUUAGACUACUAGUGGUAAGUCCAUGCCUAUCUCAGGAGCUCUCCGCCAUGUGUAGUGAACAUGAAGUGACUCUGUGCUGACACCUCUGGAGACCUCAAAACCCUCUUGUGUUCCUUCGUGUCCUGAUGAGUGGAUCAAUUUCUGGAUUUGGUGAACCGAGGCAGCACGUUCUGAUGCCAUGUGUAUGGUUGUUCCAUUAGAGACCUCUCUAAGUCAACUGGAAAUCUGAUUCUGGCUUACCACUAGUAUAACCUUUUAUUAAUAGAAACCUUCUCCUCUUUGACAUGGCCCUCCCCAAACUCUUUCUUGUUGCCAGAAUCCUCUGGGUUACAGAAAAGGUACUAGUAGGCAGGCUUGUUGCUGAAAAGGGCAACUUGGUGACAUGCUACAGGUGGUCUUAUAGAAAAGUUCACUUCCUCUGCUGCUAAUCAUCUGAAAACAAAAUAGGCAGAGAGGACAGAAAAACUAACCCUAACUUCUUGUUGGCUGCUUCCAUUUUUGUCUCGUGAGCUCAGAAAUAUAUUAGGCAAGAUGCAAGCUUCUGUGGUGAGAUAAAAACUUAAUGCAUUCUUUGUAGCAGCAGUAUUUUUAGUAACUAGUAGAGAGCAAUUUGCUGCUGGGCAGUUUAGCUCUGUUCUUGUGUUAUUGGUUAUAUGCUGAUACUACGUAGUAGCCUGCAAGUUUGCUGGGUGGUCAGCCUCUCAUUUGUGUUUUCAAGAGACCAGUGCUGUUCUGUUGGUUAUUGUGUUGUUUUUAGGGCGGGAGUCUCUUGGUGCAGAGCUUUGGUUUGCCUUUUGCUUGUUAGGAAGGGCACGCCAGUUUUACUGGUGAUGGGUGAGAUGACAGCUGUCGCUUUGGAAAGGUUGCAGGAUGUGCCACAGCGAAGGUGCUGCAAGAAUUUAUUGGUUAUUUUCCAGUUAUUUACAUGGUUGUGCCAGUCAAGUCAUAGCGGCAUAUCAUACUCUAUGACCCGUUUUUUCAAAAGCUGGACAUAAAAUGCUGAAAAAUUAGAGAUUGCACCAUUUCUAUGAGAAGGAAAGGCUGGAUCCCAAGCCUGCUGAAAUCAGUGAGGACCCCAUGGCAUGCCUAACCAGAUUCUGAGCUCCAAGGUUGCCAGGCUUAAGUUUCAUAGCUCCUAGUCCAGGGAGUGCAACUAGACUGAGGGAGGCUUUUUCCAGAGUGGCGACUGCUUUACAUCUCCUCUAAGGCAUGAGAACACGUUGAUGGUAAUCUUGUUUUAAAAAAAUUGGCUACGGCGCUUGUCUAUGCAUGAGCAGGAGCUGGCUCAUGGCGUGGUGCUGCAUUCCUUCUAAAGGCAAACUUCCUGUUGCUUGACAGAGAAUUGCAUCCUUCGUAAAACACACCGUGAGGCCAACGGGUAAUUGUAAACAUAGGAAGAUCCACUCCUCUAAGCAUUUCUAUGCCCGCGUAGUGUUAGUCACAGAAUUGUCAGUUCCAUACUGAUCUUGAGGAGGAAAUAUGCAUGCAUCAAGCUUGGCAAGUCAACAAUUUUCUGCAGAAUUGGUUUCAAAGUAUAUCUUUUUAAAUUCCUAACCCUUAAACUCUCUAGAUUGGAGAUGUGAGAGUGCUGCACUGAAGUUUGAGUAGGAUUUUUAAAGAAAGGAAACAAAACAGAGGCUUUCUUACAUAGGUAGUAGAAAAUCCUCUUACACCUCAGUUGGGUUCCUGGACUCUGCUAAAUAGUGUUGGUGAUCAGACAGCCCUCCUGAGAAAUGUGGGCUUUCUGAUAUCUUCUAAGUCUGGUAAUGACUGCUAAAUAAUCCUAAACACCAAAAGUAUGCCAUUACCAAAAUACUCUAGAAUUUAUUUUAGUUUGUUAGUACUUAUUAGUGUUAUAGUGCUCUACAAGAAGCAGUGAGCUUUUUUUUUUCCUCUUAAGAGGAGAAAAAGCAGAUCUAGAAGGCAAAACUGCCUUUGUUGCCCUAUAGCCUGUUUCCCCUAAACUUUUUGCUUCUAGGCACUUAUAAUCUAUAUAGGCAGAGAUUGUGAUAGAUAAUGUCACCCUUUGUGCAUUUCAGAUAAGCAUCUCUCUAAACACAAAUGUGAUCAGCAUCUCUCCUUGUCCUUUUGAGACUCAGUAACAGCUUUGUCGAGUGGCUUGAUAAUUUUUGCGCAAAAUUCAGUUGGACUUCUGUGGUCAGCAGCAUGUAAAAAUGACGUGGGAAGAUCUUCAGUUGAGCUCCGUUACCUGAGCAGCCACGAUGCUGAUGGACUCCAGCUCACGCACACACACAAAGCUGAUACCUUGCUGUGAGGCCAUUGGCGACCGGAGUAGAGUCCGACACCAAAUUCCUUCAUUUCACCUUCAGCCCAGUUGUGUGAAGCCCACAUGAUGAUGGUGUGAGUGUUUCUCUGCCUUGGUGGCAUUUGGUGGCUCAAUCCCUCAGCUGCUCCUCGGUGGAUGGAUGCACUAAGCUGCAGACCAGUGUGACAAGACAGGGGCAUAGGAAUGCUCUCCAUUUUAUAGACAAGGCACUGAGGUCCUGUGGCACCUGUGUUUCCUAAGAAACAGUCCAGAAAAUCAAAUGGCACCCCUUGUAGAGGUCCAGAUGCCUUCCUGGCCUCCCUGUGCUGUGGAAGGGGUGUAAGUUCACCUUCUUGUGUCCCCAGCUGUGCCCUGGCCUUGCUGGCCCAGCAGAAUGGAGCCAUUUUCCCUAUUUCCUGGCUCCUCCUGCUGCUAUGGACUCGGUGGUACCAGCGCUGCCCACCCCAUCCCCAGUGUGCCUCUGGUAGGUGCAGGCUGAGGUCACAGCCGCACUGGGGAUGCUCCCUCACUAGUGGCAUGCAUCUUGCUGCGUCAGACAGGGCACCAAGGACUCAUACUGCUGUAAUACAACCUAGCCUCCGGCAAGCCAUACUAUACCAGGUAAGUGUGUUUUUCCUUGGUAUCUGUGCAUAGGCUGGUAGAAUGGUACCUGAAGCUAUGGCAGCCAAAGCCCUUAACCUCUUCAUUAUUAUUUUUAAACCUGCUUAGUGAGUAAACGCCGCGACAAACCCCAGCUGGGCGGCGUGGUGCAAAGCUGGCACAGCACCGGCUGAGUAUCGGCCGCAGCAGUGGCAGUGCAGCAGCAUUGCUGCUCGCGAGUCGUGUCGGGGUGUCGGGUUUGCUCGAGGCCAAGACAAGAGCGGGUGUUAGGGGCUGAGCCGUGGAACAUACUGCAACCCCACCAGCAGGGGCUUGCCUGAAGUCCUGCCCUCGCAAACAUUUACGCUGUAGCAGACGUGUGAGAUAUUGUGUGGCUGUGUUCCAAAGUGUGGGAUAAGAAGACAUGUAGAGGGCAUAUUAUCAUCUCCCUGACCAUUGCAGGUGCAAAGAAUUCGGUAACAAUAUUUGCUCUGGAGCCAAAUUGCUCUCAGACUCCCUCCAAUGUUUAUUCAGUUGAAGAGAAUUACCCAGCUUUUCAGCUGCACAACAAUCACCGGGUAAGAAUUCCCAGACAGCAUAUUUUUCUUUCUUUUAUUUUAUACCCUUUUGAAACAUUUGUCUAGACAUGUGACAGGGAAACCUCAAAUUGUUUGGUUGCAUAUUUGAAAGGUACCUGAACGUUUCCUCCCUCCAUCCAUCGCCCUGAGUGUAUUCAACCUGCCUCAGUUCCUUGUAAUUGGGCUGAAAGCCUCUGGAGAGCAACUUUUCUUGUAAGCUUUUCAUCUGCUUUUGGUUUGAAGGAGUUCAGCGAUCUCCCAACCAUCAGGACUUUUGCAAACACUUCACUGGUUCCGUCUCAAACCAAGAAGUACAAGGAAGCAUAAAACUGUAAAAAAAAAAAGUAACUAUAAUAAUAACAAAAGGACUCCACCCCCAAACCUUAACAUAACAGAAAAGUGUUUUUCAUUCCAACUAAAAAUAUAAAGAAGUCACUUGUAUGCAGUUCAAGGAAAGGAGCAAUCAUUUUUUAAGCUCUCUGAACCAGAAGCUUCAUGCCAGUAGCACGCUGCCCUGAGGACAGCGGUGUGUAGCACUGCCAAUACAGCCCUGUGAGACAGGCACACAGGACACGUCACUGGUACAGAUCCUGCUUGUGGUUAUAGGCUGUUUGCUGGUCUGAAUGCACGCAGUUAGCCUGAUCCAUUUGAUUUCAGUGGCAUUUCACACGGAUGCAAAAGUCUAUCACAGACCUUUCAGUAGCUGAAUCACUAAACAUUUUCGUGCUUUAAAAUAAUUUCAGACUCCAGCUGUUUACUGGAAAUAGUUUUAAAAAGGCAAUCAAGAUAAUAUAAUAUCAAUAAUAAUCAAGAUAAUUGCAUUAUCUGGUAGUCCAUUUUAUUACUUAUUCGACCAACCAGAGAUGUCGUACCCUCUAAGCAAUGAAAUAUCCAGCAGCUCAUUUUUAUUCAUAUUUUUCAAUUAGCCAUCUAUAAAAAAUCAUUGCAAAACUCAACUCUUCUCUUCAGAGUCACAUCCUCUGGCUGUGCCAGGCAGUGCAAUAAUUCAAAGAGGGGCAGCCCUAGGAGAGAGCUAGAUUGGGUGAGGAAGUAAACUGCAAUGCUGCAGCCUCACUGCAACUGAAUCCUUACUGCCAAAGGCCAAGUAAGGGGAAGGCCAAUACUGCAGCACCAUAUUAACACUGCAAGAUUAUCAUUUCCAUUCCAUUCAAAUUAAAAGAAAAAAAAAAGUAUUUCUUUGGCUUGAUAAAUCCCAUACGUCCUUCCCACCCAUUUCCAUUUUAAUGCAAAAAUAGAAGCACUCUACUUAGAUCUUGUUUCCAAGCUGGCAGGAGAAGUCCCUGUGUUGGUUGGUAGUGCUACAAUGCGUUAGGCUGCGACGCAGCUCUGGCUGUCUUUAUUUCAUUACUUUUUUCUUUCCCCUCAACACAUCGAGUACUGAGAGCUGGUUCUUCACUUGGUGUCAAUGGCAAAGCCUUGGCUCUUCUAGAGGAGGAAGCCCAAACCCGUAGCUAAUGCAAAUCACCAGCGUUGGGUAUUGUUACUGAGAAAACAUUCUGU